AACACAGCAUGCUGCAGAUGUGUGCUUUGUGAGAGGUUGGAUUAGAUCAUCGCCAUGGAAAGGAAAUACAUUAACUGUGUCUCCUGGAGGCAAAACCAGCAAAUCCAGGGGGAUGGAUGGAAUGCUAGAUGCCUCAUGAGAAUUCUGCAUUGUCAGAGCAUUUAUACUGAAUAUUUUAUAGAUACAUGUCUGGUUGGUUCCCCUAUUGAGGUUCUGAGUCCCUGGCUGUUACUGGUGUGUUGGAAAGCAAUGACUCCUCAGAUGUUCUUGUAUACCUUUAUCUGUCUGCCUCCAAUUACUUUAUGAGCUCAUGAAAAUGAACACAAGGCAUCUUUGACAUUCCUCUCUCUCAUUUCCUCUCCUAUUUUUUACAUAGGGCACUUUUGCCAAUAACUCUUUCCUAGUAAAACAAUGCCUCUGAAUUCAUGCUGUGUGUAUAUGUCUGUCUGUGUAUGUGAUUCCAUGUACCCUCCCUCCCCACCUCCCCAAGUGUUUGAGCCUGUUGGCAAAAGAAUACAGAUCUGAAAGUGAAGUUCCUGUGAGGUUGAAAGAGAGAGGCAGAUGGGUACAUGAGAGAGCCUGUUUGUGCUAGAAGCAUCAACAUGCUACCAGCUCAGCUCACCUUUUAUCAGGCACCAGAGAGCUCCCACUGGAGCGUGCCCUUGGAAAUCAGACUUCAUCCUGUCUGUCAGUCAUGGACUACUCAUUCAUGCUGAUGGUUUUGGAAUAAAGAUGGGAAGGAGGGGGUGGAAAAGCUGGAGCUUCUCUUUUCUGCACUUUCAAGAUGUAUGGUUGUCUCCU